UAGACAAGAAGUGAUUGAGGUGCGCUGGCAGAAAGAUGACGGAAAGUUUGACUGCUUUUCGGAAAGACGCUUCCUUUCUUGGUUUAUUUGCUCGGCUCGGAUAAAUGAAAUAAAUAUGACUGGGAAAAGAUGGAGCCGCAUGUGGGUGGAAGGGAGCUUAGGAUAAAUAUAGCAGAGGGAAAAGGAUUCGCAGCUUGGAUUUUCCGGUGCUGGUCAGUGUUCACUCUCUCGAUUCCUACUGAAGGGUUGGGCUUCCUUGCAGUUCCGGCAGUUCUUCUGUAGUAAUAUUUUUGCGAAAUGGCCGACGACGAUAGAGAAUACAGUGAGGAGGAGGAAGAAGAGGAAGAGGAAGGAACUGGAGUAGAAGAAAAG